CGGAGCCGUAUGAUGCGGAAGUCCCACGUACGGUUCCCUGAGAAGGGAGUGGCUACCCACUGGAGCUUCGACCAACUACCACCGGUCAAUUCCGCUUUAGGGCCACCCCUGACUCUAC
rnacentral:ncRNA from 1 species